GCUUCGGUGGCUUAGUGGUUAGAGUGUCCGCCUCGGAUGCGGAAGGUCGUGAGUUUGAUCCCUGGCUGAUUAAUAACA